UGGGGAAUCUUGGACAAUGGGGGCAACCCUGAUCCAGCGAUGCCGCGUGGGUGAAGAAGGCCUUCGGGUUGUAAAGCCCUUUAGGUUGGGACGAAGGUUACGAGGGGAUAAUACUCGUAGCUUGACGGUACUAACAGAAUAAGCACCGGCAAACUCUGUGCCAGCAGCCGCGGUAAUACAGAGGGUGCAAGCGUUAAUCGGAGUUACUGGGCGUAAAGGGCGCGUAGGCGGUUUAAUGGGUGUGAUGUGAAAGCCUUGGGCUUAACCUGAGAAGUGCAUCGCAAACUAAUAGACUGGAGUAUAUGAGAGGGUGGCGGAAUUUCCGGUGUAGCGGUGAAAUGCGUAGAGAUCGGAAGGAACGUCAAUGGCGAAGGCAGCCACCUGGCAUAAUACUGACGCUGAGGCGCGAAAGCGUGGGGAGCGAACAGGAUUAGAUACCCGCGUAGUCC
rnacentral:rRNA from 1 species